UGUAAACAGUAGUCCCCCAAGUUCGCGGUCGAGAAGUAACUUCUGGGUUGGGAACUUGUGAGUUUUUGUAAUUGUAACCGAGCAUUCCAGCUUCAUUGGGAGUCGCAGGGCACUCCCUAGUCCCCCAAGUUGGCAAGCUAGGAGUUGCGUCAACACAUGGUAGCUGGGUACCUGGGUACUUGGGCAUGUUGCAGAUAGGAUGGGAGCUGGGUCCCUAGGGGAGCCAGACCUUCGAGGGAGCCGGGUACUUAGAAAAUUUUGGAGACUCCAAUUCUUUCAUGGCUCCUGCCGUGCGGUAAGGGUCUAGCUCCCUUUUUUUUUUUUUUUGUUUUUUGUUUUUUUUUUUUUUGGGAAUGGCCGGGCUAUUUGGAAGUUUUGGCCCUCUCCGCAAAAAAAAAUACCAUGGCCCUUGCCGUUCGGCAAGGGUCUAGGCACACUUGUUUUUUUGUUACUCCCCGGGAGCUAGGCCAUUUUGGUUUGGGCCUUCGGCAUGGGGCUGGAGGUGGGCUCAAAGUGGGCUAGGGUUUUGAGAGGGGCUAGGGUUUUAAGAGGGGUAUAAAAACGAAAGGGGGUGGCCUCUGCCGUUCGGCAGCUUUGGUUGAUUGUGAAAUUAAUAGGGGAAACAAAACUUGGGAGCCGAACUUGCCGUUCGGCAGUGAGCUUGGUUGGCGCUUCGGCAGCAAGAUGGCAGCGCUUCGGCAGCAAGGCUGGGCAGGC
rnacentral:lncRNA from 1 species